AUUGAACGCUGGCGGCAGGCCUAACACAUGCAAGUCGAACGAGUGGCGGACGGGUGAGUAAUGUCUGGGAAACUGCCCGAUGGAGGGGGAUAACUACUGGAAACGGUAGCUAAUACCGCAUACCAUCGGAUGUGCCCAGAUGGGAUUAGCUAGUAGGUGGGGUAAUGGCUCACCUAGGCGACGAUCCCUAGCUGGUCUUAUAGGAUGACCAGCCACACUGGAACUGAGAAACGGUCCAGACUCCUACGGGAGGCAGCAGUGGGGAAUAUUGGACAAUGGGGGAAAGCCUGAUGCAGCCAGGCGGCGUGUAUGAAGAAGGCCUUCGGGUUGUAAAGUACUUUCAGCGGGGAGGCGUUACCCGCAGAAGAAGCACCGGCUAACUCCGUGCCAGCAGCCGCGGGAAUAC
rnacentral:rRNA from 1 species